GACGAACGCUGGCGGCGUGCUUAACACAUGCAAGUCGAGCGGUAAGGCCCUUUCGGGGGUACACGAGCGGCGAACGGGUGAGUAACACGUGGGUGACCUGCCCUCAGCUCUGGGAUAAGCCUGGGAAACUGGGUCUAAUACUGGAUAUGACUCCACGGUGCAUGUCGUGGGGUGGAAAGCCUUGUGCGGCUGAGGAUGGGCCCGCGGCCUAUCAGCUUGUUGGUGGGGUGAGGCCUACCAAGGCGACGACGGGUAGCCGGCCUGAGAGGGCGACCGGCCACACUGGGACUGAGACACGGCCCAGACUCCUACGGGAGGCAGCAGUGGGGAAUCUUGCGCAAUGGGCGAAAGCCUGACGCAGCGACGCCGCGUGAGGGAUGACGGCCUCGGUU
rnacentral:rRNA from 1 species